rnacentral:rRNA from 1 species
GACGAACGCUGGCGGCGUGCUUAACACAUGCAAGUCGAACGGAAAGGCCCUGCUUUUGUGGGGUGCUCGAGUGGCGAACGGGUGAGUAACACGUGAGUAACCUGCCCUUGACUUUGGGAUAACUUCAGGAAACUGGGGCUAAUACCGGAUAGGAGCUCCUGCUGCAUGGUGGGGGUUGGAAAGUUUCGGCGGUUGGGGAUGGACUCGCGGCUUAUCAGCUUGUUGGUGGGGUAGUGGCUUACCAAGGCUUUGACGGGUAGCCGGCCUGAGAGGGUGACCGGCACAAUUGGACUUAGGGACGGCCCAGACUCCUACGGGAGGCAGCAGUGGGGAAUAUUGCACAAUGGGCGGAAGCCUGAUGCAGCAACGCCGCGUGCGGGAUGACGGCCUUCGGGUUGUAAACCGCUUUCGCCUGUGACGAAGCGUGAGUGACGGUAAUGGGUAAAGAAGCACCGGCUAACUACGUG